AACGAACGCUGGCAGCAGGCUUAACACAUGCAAGUCGAACGGCAGCACGGGGGCAACCCUGGUGGCGAGUGGCGAACGGGUGAGUAAUGCAUCGGAACGUGCCCAGUAGUGGGGGAUAACCAGUCGAAAGACUGGCUAAUACCGCAUACGACCUACGGGUGAAAGCGGGGGACCGUAAGGCCUCGCGCUAUUGGAGCGGACGAUGUCUGAUUAGCUAGUUGGCGGGGGAAGAGCCCACCAAGGCGAUGACCAGUAGCUGGUCUGAGAGGACGACAAGCCACACUGGGACUGUGACACGGCCCAGACUCCUACGGGAGGCAGAAGUGGGGAAUUUUGGAAAAUGGGCGCAAGCCUGAUCCAGCCAUGCCGCGUGCGGGAAGAAGGCCUUCGGGUUGUAAACCGCUUUUGGCAGGAACGAAACGGCGCAAGCCAAUACCUUGCGCUAAUGACGGUACCUGCAGAAUAAGCACCGGCUAACUACGUGCCAGCAGCAGCCGCCGUAAUAC
rnacentral:rRNA from 1 species